rnacentral:rRNA from 1 species
UUCCGGUUGAUCCUGCCGGACCUGACUGCUAUCGGAUUGAUACUAAGCCAUGCGAGUCUUUGCAGUAAUGCAAGGCAUACGGCUCAGUAACACGUAGUCAACUUACCCUAUGGACGAGGAUAAUCUCGGGAAACUGAGCAUAAUACUCGAUAGAUCAUAAUGCCUGGAAUGGUUUAUGGUUAAAAUGAUUCAUCGCCAUAGGAUGGGACUGCGGCCUAUCAGCUUGUUGGUGAGGUAAUGGCCCACCAAGGCGAUUACAGGUACGGGCUCUGAGAGGAGAAGCCCGGAGAUGGGUACUGAGACAAGGACCCAGGCCCUAUGGGGCGCAGCAGGCGAGAAAACUUUGCAAUGUGCGAAAGCACGACAAGGUUAAUCCGAGUGAUUUCUGCUAAAGAAAUCUUUUGCAAGUCAUAAAACCACUAGUGAAUAAGGGGUGGGCAAGUUCUGGUGUCAGCCGCCGCGGUAAAACCAGCACCUCAAGUGGUCAGGAGGAUUAUUGGGCCUAAAGCAUCCGUAGCCGGCUCUGUAAGUUUUCGGUUAAAUCCAUGUGCUCAACACAUGGGCUGCCGAAAAUACUGCAUAGCUAGGGAGUGGGAGAGGUAGACGGUACUCGGUAGGAAGGGGUAAAAUCCUUUGAUCUAUCGAUGACCACCUGUGGCGAAGGCGGUCUACCAGAACACGUUCGACGGUGAGGGAUGAAAGCUGGGGGAGCAAACCGGAUUAGAUACCCGGGUAGUCCCAGCUGUAAACGAUGCAGACUCGAUGAUGCAUUGGCAUAUAGCCAGUGCAGUGUCGCAGGGAAGCCGUUAAGUCUGCCGCCUGGGAAGUACGUACGCAAGUAUGAAACUUAAAGGAAUUGGCGGGGGAGCACCACAAGGGGUGAAGCCUGCGGUUCAAUUGGAUUCAACGCCGGG